rnacentral:rRNA from 1 species
GAGACAGGUGCUGCAUGGCUGUCGUCAGCUCGUGUUGUGAAAUGUUGGGUUAAGUCCCGCAACGAGCGCAACCCUUAUCCUUUGUUGCCAGCGGUCCGGCCGGGAACUCAAAGGAGACUGCCAGUGAUAAACUGGAGGAAGGUGGGGAUGACGUCAAGUCAUCAUGGCCCUUACGACCAGGGCUACACACGUGCUACAAUGGCGCAUACAAAGAGAAGCGACCUCGCGAGAGCAAGCGGACCUCAUAAAGUGCGUCGUAGUCCGGAUUGGAGUCUGCAACUCGACUCCAUGAAGUCGGAAUCGCUAGUAAUCGUGGAUCAGAAUGCCACGGUGAAUACGUUCCCGGGCCUUGUACACACCGCCCGUCACACCAUGGGAGUGGGUUGCAAAAGAAGUAGGUAGCUUAACCUUCGGGAGGGCGCUUACCACUUUGUGAUUCAUGACUGGGGUGAAGUCGUAACAAGGUAACCGUAGGGGAACCUGCGGUUGGAUCACCUCCUU